rnacentral:rRNA from 1 species
AGAGUUUGAUCCUGGCUCAGGAUGAACGCUGGCGGUAUGCUUUACACAUGCAAGUCGAACGCAAGUUUUAAACUUGAGUGGCGGACGGGUGAGUAACACGUGAGAAUUCACCUUUAGGCGGGGAAUAACUAUGGGAAACGAUAGCUAAUGCCCCAUAUGCUCGCAAGAGUGAAAGGAGAAAUCCACCCAAAGAGAAGCUCGCGGCUGAUUAGCUAGUUGGUAAGGUAAUGGCUUACCAAGGCGACGAUCAGUAGCUGGUUUGAGAGAACGAUCAGCCACACUGGAACUGAGACACGGUCCAGACUCCUACGGGAGGCAGCAGUGGGGAAUUUUCCGCAAUGGGCGAAAGCCUGACGGAGCAAUACCGCGUGAGGGAUGAAGGCCUUUGGGUUGUAAACCUCUUUUAUCAAGGAGGAAGUUCUGACGUGUACUUGAUGAAUAAGCAUCGGCUAACUCCGUGCCAGCAGCCGCGGUAAUAC